UACGUAGGGUGCAAGCGUUAAUCGGAAUUACUGGGCGUAAAGCGUGCGCAGGCGGUUUUGUAAGUCUGACGUGAAAUCCCCGGGCUCAACCUGGGAGUUGCGUUGGAGACUGCAAGGCUGGAGUCUGGCAGAGGGGGGUAGAAUUCCACGUGUAGCAGUGAAACGCGUAGAGAUGUGGAGGAACACCGAUGGCGAAGGCAGCCCCCUGGGUCAAGACUGACGCUCAUGCACGAAAGCGUGGGGAGCAAACAGG
rnacentral:rRNA from 1 species